rnacentral:sRNA from 1 species
UGUGCAGGAUCGUAAAUAAAAUGGACGGCGUGCAUGAGCACCAUACCUUCACGACUGCGGGCAGUUCAAUCCCAGAAGAUCAGAACCCCCUGGCUAGUGUCCGAAGGUAAGCAAUGGAUCAUAUACUCCAUUUAACGAUGUGACGGUUAGUAGGCGGCCGGAAUGGCAGUUCUUACUGCGGCUUUUUGGCCUUGUGCUAACCGCCCAACGCUGCGAGCCUUCCCUCCACUCAACAACCACGGUAUAUGGAGUCCGCUAUGAUGCUUUGUUUAGUAAAGUCUAGGGCUUAGGGCAAAAACUACAGUGCUGUAUAUGAUAUUACUCUCCCCCAGACUUCUUCCCCUCAUCUUAGUAUUGAGUUUUCAAUAGAAUGGCCCAAAGUGGAGCAGUUGUGGAUAAGACUCUAACAGCGCUCCCCUUCAGCGUGAGCGAGGUGAGAGAAGGAAGGGCCACAGAGACAAGCU